rnacentral:rRNA from 1 species
GUAGUCAUAUGCUUGUCUCAAAGAUUAAGCCAUGCAUGUCUAAGUCCAAGCUGUGUUCACACGGCGAGACCGCGGACGGCUCAUUAAAUCAGUCGUGGUCCAAAUGGGCCAGUGCAAAUCCUACUUGGAUAACUGUGGUAAUUCCAGAGCUAAUACAUGCAACUGAUAUCCCGAAGGCGGUGUUGGGGCUUGCUUGCCUUGCGCUGCGCUGCUCUGACGGAUGCUUUUAUUAGACCAAGCCGCUGAGGACUUGAGGGUUCGCGCUCUCUUGUUUGACUCGUGUGAUGGUGACUCUGGAUAACCAAAUUCUGACAAGCGCACGUACUUCUCUUCUGAGCGAGACGGCGCUGCCACUUUCGAGUGUCUGCCUUAUCAGCUAUCAACCGUUCGUUAUGCGCGACCGAUGGCUUUGACGGGUAACGGGGAAUCAGGGUUCGAUUCCGGAGAGGCAGCCUGAGAGACGGCUACCACGUCCAAGGACGGCAGCAGGCACGCAAAUUACCCAAUCCCAGCAAAUGGGGGAGGUAGUGACGAAAUCUAACGAUGCGGGCGCCCUUUCUGGGGCCCCGCAAUCGGAAUGGGCACUUUCUAAACAACCUGUUGAGAACCUACUGAA